rnacentral:misc_RNA from 1 species
GGAAGUAAAAGUCGUAACAAGAUUUCCGUAGGUGAACCUGCGGAAGGAUCAUUAUUGUGUAACCGAGGUGCGAGGGCUGUCGCUGACCCGAAAGGUCGUGCACGCCCGAGUGCCCUCACACACAUCCAUCUCACCCCUAUGUGCACCACCGCGUGGGUCCCCCUUUGGCUUGUUCGGAGGGGGGCUUACGUUUUCACACAAACUUUGUAUGCAGUGUAGAAUGUAUUUUUUGUUUUUGCGAUCACGCAAUCAAUACAACUUUCAACAACGGAUCUCUUGGCUCUC